rnacentral:lncRNA from 1 species
GAUCUUUCUUAUGCAUCUGCUUCCCCUUCAUCUUGCUGUGUGACUGACAGCUACUUUGCACUAGCAUUAUCUGUCAAAAUAUUAUUUAACUGGAAUACCUUCCAGAACUAGUCUUUGUUAUUAUUAGAAACAAAAAUGCAGUGAUAAUUGAAUCCCUUUAUAUUCCCCAUGUAAUGCAAGGAGUAAGACAUAUUCACACCUAAGGGGAAAACACAUCUGGAUUUCCUCUUUGCCCCAAGACCGCGUGCUCUCCCGUACCCUGUAACGGCUUUGAUUCACUAUACCUUAGAGGGAGAUGAAAUUUGCGGUGCAUGCAUAUCAUCUAAGGAAAACAAUAGCAUACAUAUAUAUAUAUAUUUUGCUAUAGGAAUUGCAUUAAAUAAAUAUAUAGCGAGCUGCAGUGUCACAACAAGUAGAUGUACAAUUACGAAGACAAAAUACCCAAAGGAAAUCAACACAAGGCUUAUUAAUAUCCAGGCCUGCAGAAGACAACUGUCAGACAAUUGGUCAACAAGUGUGUACGGCACUGGGCAGGCAGCGAGGAUUCAGAAGGAUCCACUGAAGUAAAUCAGGUCUUUAAUCAGCAACAGACCCUUAGCAGCUGUGCCCAAGGCAGUAACAAGAAUCCUAAAUUCUGGGUCAUGGUGUCUGGCUCUAAAACCAAGUUACCUGACUGCAUUUCAACAUAUCUAGCAAUGCUUUUGUAAAGAAAUGGGUGAGAAAAACUUUUACCCCUUUUCUAAAACACCUAGCACAGACUCUAAUCUUGGAAAGUGAUUUGUUGCAUAUAAAAGACUGCAAAAGUGUUGGUCUGCAAAGAUCUGUGUUUUCUGACUCGUGUUUUACCAGAGUUGUAACGGCUUCAACUUGAUCAUUGGCAACAUUGCCGCAUGUACGUAACCCUGGCAAUUAAGAGUAGACAGAAAAUGUGGACUAUCAUUUGCUAACUCUUCUAAAUUGUCUAAUCUUCAGUGUAAUAGCAUCUCUUUAAUAAAUAACACAAUUUCUAUUUCCC